GGUCACCGACCAAAGAAAAAAAAAUAAAAAACAGCUUGAACGUGCAAUAGCCAUCGAUCCAUGACACCAUUCAUUCCUAUGUGAAGACUCAAUAGCGCAUUGAAGUCAAAUGAAGUCGGUUAAGAUGGCAUCUUAUUGAAAGGUAACAUGCGCAGUUUGAGCUACUCCAGGAGUGACGUCGCAAGCUAAACCAGUGCCUACCCCUUUCAAUGAGUAACUCAAUUUGAAGGCCGCCCGAGGACCUGAGCCCUAGGACCAUGCCUCAGGACUACCUGGCAUGAUGACUCCUUGCUGUCCCCAGUCCACCUGGCCGUGCACUGCUCCAGUUUCAACUGUUCUGCCUGCGGCUAUGGAACCCUGACCUGUUCACCGGACGUGCUUGUUGCACCCUCGACAACUACUAUGAUUAUUAUUUGACCAUGCUGGUCAUUUAUGAACAUUUUAACAUCUUGACCAUGUUCUGUUAUAAUAUCCACCCGGCACAGCCAGAAGAGGACUGGCCACCCCUCAUAGCCUGGUUCCUCUCUAGGUUUCUUUCUAGGUUUUGGCCUUUCUAGGGAGUUUUUCCUAGCCACCGUGCUUCUACACCUGCAUUGCUUGCUGUUUGGGGUUUUAGGC
rnacentral:lncRNA from 1 species